ensembl:lncRNA
UCUGGCAUUCCAUAAAUCUCAAUUUAUCUGUCCCUUCAUUUUUAUACAAAUGGAAGGGAAGGGAAGCCUCCUUGGAAGCAAACGUCUCUGCUGCGUGGGGUAGUGUGUGGUCCCAGAUUCCAUAUUUAGGGAAAUCUCUCCUGGGGCCAUGGGCAUCGUCCCCAGGGCUGCCCCAGCACCAUUCAACACUUCCAGCAGAUGAUGGGGUGCAGGGGGUGUUUGGGUGCACAGGGAGGGCACAAGGAGGCAGUGCCCCUGGGCAGGUGGUACCGCAUCCCAAAAUGACGCAGGGGGGUGGAAGGUUCUGGUAGGAUGCCAGGAGGUGCUCGUUAGACCCAGGUGCUGGCACUCAGCUAAUGAGGGCCCACAGGCGGCUCCUUCUUCCUGCUCCUCCUGCAGUGUCCUGGUGCUGGGGACACUAGGGCUGUUAUUUGGGGCAAUAUUUUGGUGCUGUGAGGAGCAGAGAUGAGAUGAGAGCCCAAGGCCUGCAUUGCGUGAUGACCUCACACUGGAGGCUUUUUCAUCUCUGAGGACCUUGGAUUGCUCUGCAGACUUAAUGGUAUAACAUACAAAUUGGAUGCCGGAGGAUCCAUUUGCUCUCUGCUGAAACGAGGCAGUGGCUUGGAUUGUUCAGCAGUGCUUGUGGACGCAAAGGGCAGCGAGGGAAGAAGCUCGAAGCCAAUCCUUGUGGCAGAACGAGAACUUGGAGGGGAAGGAUGCAGCUCACCUCGGUGCCCAGAGCAAAGACUGCUUAAGAAGAGGUCAUGGGCACGCCUAAGAAAUCUAAACCAUGAGCAAAGCAGGAUGGCUACUGAACCUGGAGGGCAGUGUGCUGAAAAGUGAAGAAAAUGCUCCUUCACACACUUCUUCUAGCUGCUGGGAUGAAUCAUUGCUACCUUGGUGAAGCCAAGAACGUUGGAAGACUUAGGGCUUUCCAGAAAAGACCAGGGAAAUAAUUAGUUUUUUUUGUUUGUAAUGAGUUUUUGUUUGGUUGGUUUUGUUUUUAGCAAGGAAUUCAAUAGAAGAUGACUUGACAUGUCAGGACAGCAUACCUCUAAGCAAGAGCACGUGGUUUCUCAAAGUGUUUUUAAAAGUAAUGCAGAACUCUUGGAUUUGGUGAUAGGAUCUUCUCCUACCGCCCUUGGUAGCUGAACUAGGAACCACCAGAAAGGUGUGGAGCUUCUUUCCUCCAGGCCUUUCAUGCUCUUUCAGGAGCUCACACCCAAGUUCUUGACUUCUUAGAUCCCCAGGUGAGAGGGGGCUUUUCCAGCCCUCUGCCUUUCCCAUCCCAGUGUCAGCCACUCCCAAACGUGGUGGCCGUCUGCCACAGAAGUUGCCCCUUCCCAUCCUGGAAAGGCAAAGGUCAGAACGAAGCUCAUACAUAUAACAUGCAACUGGAAAAAAUAUUUACAGAUAGCAAAUUGCCAUCUCUGCAGAAGGAAAACAUGAAAAAAUAGAAACGUGAUAUUUAUUUUAAUACAAUGUUUUUAAAUUUUAAUUUAAGAGACCAGCUGUUUCUGCUUCUCUUCUAAGAGCUUAAUUGGUAUAUAAUAGCAUAGUUAAUUAAAUACAAAUCAAUAGUUUAAAACAGCUAAUUGAUAUUUAAUAUGUAUGGGAAAAUAUAACUUAGUUGUAAUAUAAUUAACUCAAUAUUAAAUAAGCAAUGGAAUCGCAAUUAUGCCUUUACAGUGAUUAUAAAGUUUAUCGUUCUUUAAUAAACUUGCAAUUCGACGGGAUAAGCUGAAAAAU